CCUAUGGGCGGCAGCAGUGGGGGAUAUUGGACAAUGGGGGAAACCCUGAUCCAGCGACGCCGCGUGAGUGAAGAAGUAUUUCGGUAUGUAAAGCUCUAUCAGCAGGGAAGAAAGAAAUGACGGUACCUGAGUAAGAAGCCGCGGCUAACUACGUGCCAGCCGCCGCGGUAAUACGUAGGGGGCAAGCGUUAUCCGGAAUUACUGGGUGUAACGGGAGCGUAGACGGUAAUGCAAGCCUGUAGUGAAAGGCGGGGGCGCAACCCCCGGACUGCUCUGGAUACUGGGUAACUGGAGUGCAGGAGAGGCAGGCGGAAUGCCUAGUGUAGCGGUGAAAUGCGUAGAUAUUUGGAGGAACACCAGUGGCGAAGGCGGCCUGCUGGACUGUAACUGACGUUGAGGUUCGAAAGCGUGGGGAGCAAACAGGAUUAGAUACCCUAGUAGUC
rnacentral:rRNA from 1 species